rnacentral:rRNA from 1 species
AUGGUGUCUGACUUUUUCUUCCCAAACUUUGGCGGUGUGGAAAGCCACAUCUAUUAUCUAUCGCAGUGCCUCCUUAAGCUUGGCCAUAAGGUUGUUGUCAUGACACAUGCAUAUGGAAAACGUUCUGGAGUACGAUAUGUUACUGGCGGCUUGAAGGUUUAUUAUGUGCCAUGGAGGCCAUUCCUGAUGCAGAAUACACUACCUACAUUGUUCAUGACAUUUCCAAUUAUAAGGACCAUUCUUAUUCGUGAGAAGAUAUCUGUUGUGCAUGGACAUCAGGCCUUCUCAACAACGUGCCAUGAAGCAUUGAUGCAUGCUAGGACUAUGGGGUACAAAGUUGUCUUCACGGACCACUCGCUUUAUGGUUUUGCUGAUGUUGGAAGCAUUCACAUGAAUAAGGUGCUGCAGUUUACUCUUGCAGAUAUUGAUCAGGCCAUAUGUGUAUCUCACACAAGCAAAGAGAACACUGUAUUGAGGUCAGGGAUAUCUCCAGAGAAGGUUUUCAUGGUUCCUAAUGCAGUGGAUACUGCAAUGUUUACUCCCUCCUCGACCCGCUUAAGCUGUGAUGAAAUCAUUAUUGUUGUGAUAAGUAGAUUAGUAUAUCGAAAAGGUGCUGACCUUCUUGUUGAAGUCAUUCCAGAAGUAUGCCGUCUAUUUCCAAAGAUGUUAGGGGCUGUACCUCAUGCUCAAGUACGAUCUGUUCUCAUAUCUGGUCAUAUAUUUCUUAACAGUUCGCUUACAGAAGCAUUUUGCAUAGCCAUUCUGGAAGCAGCAAGCUGCGGGCUGUUGACAGUAAGCACUAGAGUCGGAGGGGUCCCAGAGGUUCUACCAGAUGACAUGAUAGUGCUCGCAGAACCAGAUCCAGAAGAUAUGGUACGAGCUGUCAGGCAAGCUAUCGACAUACUUCCUGGUAUAGAUCCCCAAAUUAUGCAUCGCCGGAUGAAAAAACUCUAUAGUUGGGAUGAUGUGGCCAAAAGAACAGAGAUUGUCUAUGAUCGUGCAAUGCAGUCAUCAAACACUAAUUUGCUAGAUCGUCUUCCCCGAUACCUCACAUGUGGAGCUUGGGCAGGCAAACUGUUUUGCCUCGUUAUGAUCAUAAAUUACCUUGUGUGGUGCCUUCUAGAAUUCCUCCAGCCUGCUGAAGGUAUUGAAGAGGUCCCAGAUAUCGGGUCACUGCACAUUCGUUUGGAUUCGGCAGACGACCAGUGUGAAACGCAAGGAAAUUGA